AAAUUUCUGCCGCACAGAGACUCUUAAGCCCCAAAAAUUUUCAGUUCCCCCCAAAAUUUCACCAACUCUUUUCAGCUCCCCCCAAAAUUUCACUAACUCCCUCUGAUUCACCUCACCCUCACACCCCAGAUCCUCUGCUCACUUCACAAAUAUCACACAUCACAGCUCUUCAUCACCGUUCUCACUGGUCGCUUCAUCCCGAUUCUCAGCUCACAUAUGGAUAUUCAUCUUGAUGUUGGAUUAAUCAACGGUUUAAUCUCAUGGGUUUUCUUCAAAUUGCUUUUAAUUACUAAUAACUUCUUCUAAUUUAUCUUAUUUGUGUCGAUUUGCUUUGUACAUCUCCAUUUUUGUGUGUGUUUAGGGUUUUUACAAUUUCUUAAGAUUAGGGCUUAUAAUUGGGGCUUGCAAUCAAGAUAAAUGGGUUUGUAUUUUGGGGGUUUAGUUGAUUUAUUUUAGAUAUUUCGAUUUAUAUAUAGUAUUUAUGUGCUGAUAUUUUUGGUUUUGUAGAAACUAGAAGAUCUGAUGCUUUUGUUCUUUCCUGUUUUAGUUCUGUGCGAGCUCUAUGAUCUCAAGUUGAUUUGUUUGCAAUAAGGUGCAUCAUGUUUUGGAUUUAAUCUCUGAUCUGUGAUGUGAUGCUCAAUUACAGGGAGAUGAUAGAAGCAGAUCAGGCAUGUGAUUUUGUUAAGGCAGGAGUCUUAGUUUGGUCCCUAUUGCAGACAUUAUUAAUUUUGCGAGCAAACUGCUAAAAGAUUUCCGAAGCUGGUAAACGUCGGGCUAGCAUCAGCAGUGUAGCUUCUCUUGACAUGUUAGGUGCAGCCUUAUUAAUUGUACAUCAUGUCAAUGACAAGUUAACUAACCAGCAGAAAUGUCCAAGGAACGUAUUUGGCAAGUGUACUCCCAAAACAUGGGGUGAUCAUGGAAUUUGUAAGAAGUCAAGUAGUCCUUACGUAUUGGGCAAUGAAAUAGAUUGUAUAGUAGCUGAUUUGUGCGUGGUAUAUGUGAUUGUAUGUUGUUACUAUAGUUGAUAAUGAAAACUUUUGUUACUAA